rnacentral:lncRNA from 1 species
ACAUACAAAGUGCUCCUUCAAAUCAAUAAGAAAAAGGAAGAGAACUCAGCAGGAAAAUGGGCAAAUGUCAGAAUAGAUACUUCACAAGAGAAGAUAUCCAAACAGAAAAUAAACAUGUGAAAAGGCAUUUGACUUCAUUAGUCAUUGGGAAAUGCAGAUUAACGUCAUAAUACAGAUACCACAAGACACUCUCCAAAAUGGCUAAAGUGGAAAAGACAGACAAUUUAGAGCAACCAGAACUCUCAUACUCUGCUGAGCAGAGUAUAAAUUGUUACAAUUACUUUGGAAAGCUGCUUGAUAGUAUCUGUUCAAACUGAAUAUACCCAUCCCUUAUACUCAGCAAUUCCACUCCUAAGUAAACACCCAACAGAAAUGCAGGCAUAUACACAACAGAUGGCACAUACAAGAAUGUCAGCUGCAGUGUAAUUUGUAAUAUUCCCAAACUGCAAACAACUCAAAUGUCCAUCAGCAGUAGAUUGGAUACAAGACCAUGGUGUAUUCAUUCACACAAUGGGAUAACAUGUAGGAGUGAGAAUAAAUAAGCUACAACUUAUACACAAGAAAGGGCGACUCUCACAAACAUAAUAACGAGUAAAAACAAAAUGCCAGUCUCAAAAGACAACCUGUUGUGAUUCCUUUUUUAUAAAGGUUAAAAACAGGCAAAAUUAAUCUGUGGUUUUAGAAGUUAGAGUACUAUUUCCCCCGGGGAGGCGGUUGUGCAUAGAAGUGGGUACAGGCAGGCAUCUGGGCGCUGCUGAUUCUGAUUCUUGACCUGGGUAUGAAUGACACGUGUGUUCAUGCUGUGAAAAUUAAUUGAGCUGUACACUGAUUACUUAUGCACUUUUCAUCCACUACGCACAGUGCAGCUUGUCGAAUGGUUGAUGGAUGGAUUUGUAAGAGUUUCCUUAAUAAAACUGAUGCCUUUGUUCCCCUCAUCCAUGGAGUAGCAUUUCCUCGUGCUUUACCAAAACCUUCCCGUACUGCCAGGCAGUGGUUUCAGGUGAAGCAGCUUGCAGAGUGGGUGGAAUGCAGAAUGCACGGAGGAGCGGGAGUUAAGCCUCUGCAGGCGGCACGUGUGUGCUGGUCCUUCCCUGUGCCGGCACCACUCCGGUAACUGGAUGUGUAUAAGCCAUUGCAUGCUCACGACAGCCAACAAGGAGCCUCACAAAUGAGGUACCCAAGGAGACAGCUGAGCGUUGCAGAGAUUCCACACGUGAGGAGAGAAUGAAACUCUCAGAUGCGAACCCUGACUAUGAGCUCAAGCACAGCACCGGGUCAUUGCCUCCGAACACAGUAGGUACUGGAAAAUCUUUGUGAAAGGAGCACUCCAUACUGGACCUCUCCAUCCUCCUUAUUUUUCUCCUUCUUGCUUCACAGUCAUAAGGACACACUCGAUAGCGGGGUAUCUGUGGUGGGGCUGGAGGCCAAGUUGCUGGGCGGCUGGGGCAGGAGAGCAUUUGAGCUCAGCCGUGCAGUUUUGAAAGGCUCCCUCGAAUAAAGGCUUCUGACACCAUUUCCAGAUGAGCCUGUCCGUGCGGUGACAUCCACUCUAAGGACUGGAAGGAGUCACUCAUCACACAGCCUUAAAUUUGGGUCCCACUCUUUAGAGCGCAUCCUACAUGAACGUUGCUUAUAAACGUGGUCGUCUUUUGAAAAGCAAGAUAAUUAUAUCGCAGUUAUUUAAAUGCGUGUUAAAAUUACUAAUUUUUUCAACAUAAAUGUUAAAAACUGCACUACAAUGUAGUUCUGUUUCGGCAUCUCACUUUUCAACACUCCGGGAAUAUUAAAACAGAAACAACAGCAGUGGCUCGGGCACUUGGCCUUCGGAGAGAGCCUGGCUAGUGCACAAGCGGUUUCUGUGUGCACAGCAGCGUUUUAUCUCAUGCCAACCCGGGGUGUGACCUCUGCAACACCCGGGAGACAAAAGGGAGCCCUGGGGCUCAUUUGAAUCACUGAAACCCGCAGAAAACUGAAAGCCUCAUUUAGUUUCAACUUUUUCCCCUGGCAAGGCUUGUUCCUACGGUGGCUUUUAAACCGAAACGCACGGCGUGAUUUGACUUUCACUUCCUCCCUUCCCAUCUCCAGCCCUGGGGCACUUUCUUCUCCUGAGCUUUCGGUGACAGGCAAACACGAGCAGAGCUUCCGAGACCGAGGCUCACGGGCCGGGUAUGGACCUUCAGUUCAGCUCCUUCCAUCCUCUCAAGAGCCCCGCCAACAGCGAUCACUGCUCUUUUCUGGACAGUGGUGGCAACUGAGUCCCCUCCCAAAAGCAGAAG